rnacentral:ncRNA from 1 species
AAUCACAAGGGGAGCUUGUAGACAGGCUGAGAGGAAGGCGAUUGAGCCUUCGACCCGUAACCUGAUUUGGAUAAUGCCAACGUAGGGAAAU